rnacentral:rRNA from 1 species
UACGUAGGGUGCAAGCGUUAUUCGGAAUUACUGGGCGUAAAGCGCGCGCAGGCGGUUCGGAAAGAGAGGUGUGAAAUCCCAGGGCUUAACCUUGGAACUGCACUUCUAACUACCGGGCUAGAGUACGGCAGAGGGGAGUAGAAUUCCACGUGUAGCAGUGAAAUGCGUAGAGAUGUGGAGGAAUACCGAUGGCGAAGGCAGCCCCCUGGGAUGAUACUGACGCUCAUGCACGAAAGCGUGGGGAGCAAACAGG